rnacentral:rRNA from 1 species
CCUACGGGAGGCAGCAGUGAGGAAUAUUGGUCAAUGGACGAGAGUCUGAACCAGCCAAGUAGCGUGAAGGAUGACUGCCCUAUGGGUUGUAAACUUCUUUUAUAUGGGAAUAAAAUGUUCCACGUGUGGGAUUUUGUAUGUACCAUAUGAAUAAGGAUCGGCUAACUCCGUGCCAGCAGCCGCGGUAAUACGGAGGAUCCGAGCGUUAUCCGGAUUUAUUGGGUUUAAAGGGAGCGUAGGUGGAUUGUUAAGUCAGUUGUGAAAGUUUGCGGCUCAACCGUAAAAUUGCAGUUGAAACGUGCAGUCUUGAGUACAGUAGAGGUGGGCGGAAUUCGUGGUGUAGCGGUGAAAUGCUUAGAUAUCACGAAGAACUCCGAUUGCGAAGGCAGUUCACUGGACUGCAACUGACACUGAGGCUCGAAAGUGUGGGUAUCAAACAGGAUUAGAUACCCGAGUAGUC